GUUACGAUUGAUUGUGUGAUACUUGAAUAAAAAUGUAUUUACAUAAGCGUAGUCAGAGUGCCUUCAGCAGCAGGUGGCUGGGUGUUUACCAAUGGCAAAAACAAAAGGUCAACUCAAUCCAGAUGCGGCAGCAGCUUAAAUCAAAACGAAGGAAUCGAUGCCGCUGGAGGAAUUGUUGGACAUCCCGGCUGGGUGGCACCGAUUGUCGUUGUCCGGCUCGAAAUGGUCCUCGUUGGCCACCAGGGAACGGAGGCGCUGGUUGUCGCACCAACUACGGCAAGUAGUGUGUCCUGAGUAGCACGACGGGGUAAAGACAACCCGGUUCAUCUGUUGGAUGUGCAUCUCAUUUGAUGGCGGUGGGGACCGGUUCCGAGAAAAUGAGAUGGUGGAAGAAUUUAGUCACCGUCUGCCGGAACAUAAAUAACUCCCAGGAAAUCAUUCGCAAAUCUAUAGUUCGGGUCAAAUGUGCUUACUGGUUCCGCACUGGAAGCUUCCGGAGGGCCUUCGAACAGCAUUCCACCCGAGUGGGAACAAUUCCAUCACUGGAGUCUGACCGAACAAGCAUGCUGUUUC